rnacentral:snRNA from 1 species
AUCGCUUCUUGGCCUUUUGGCUAAGAUCAAGUGUAGUAUCUAGGAACUGACUAGAUAUGCUAGGAUAUUCAAGACCAAAUAGAAAUUGGUCCUGGAUCUACUCCCU